rnacentral:rRNA from 1 species
CACGUAGGCACCAAGCGUUGUCCGGAUUUAUUGGGCGUAAAGAGCUUGUAGGCGGUUUGUCGCGUCUGCUGUGAAAUUUCGGGGCUCAACCCCGAACUUGCAGUGGGUACGGGCAGACUAGAGUGUGGUAGGGGAGACUGGAAUUCCUGGUGUAGCGGUGAAAUGCGCAGAUAUCAGGAGGAACACCGGUGGCGAAGGCGGGUCUCUGGGCAACAACUGACGCUGAGGAGCGAAAGCGUGGGGAGCGAACAGG